CUGAUUUAAAUUAAGAAAUUGAAUUACAUUUUUUAACCUCUUUUGUGAUCAUUUACUGAGAAUUUGUUAAUUGUUUUAAUAUAUAUGAGGUAGGAUUUCUACGUUCAUUUCUCAUCUUUAGAGAUUGCUGAAUUUCUACAUUCAUUUCUCAUCUUUAAAGAUUGUUGGAUUUCAUAUUGUCAAAUAGUUUAUGGAUUUUCAUAUUAAGCGCGUCAAUAUGUUAUUGUAGUAAUUCAAUUAGAUGUGAUAAAGUUGAUGUCUUUAUACCUUUAAACAGAAUUUUUUCACAUAAUUUCUAAUCCCGCAGCAACGCACGGGCAAAACUUUCUAGUCCUAUCUAUACUAAAACCCGGUGGGAAAACCACUGUUCAUUAACAAUGUGCUGACUCCCGCCCCUCGAUUUCUUCAUGUUUUUGGGCCUUCUUAGGGAUUCUCCACUGAAUUGGCGGUUUUACCCUUUUCCUCAUUUUUGUUGCCGCGUGCCUCUGGAGGUGGAAACACGUUUUUCAUUUUCUUGGUUGGGGUUUGGUUUCCUGACGAUGAGCAUGUGUCGAUCAUCGCAUCGACUGUGCCUUUUCCCAUUUUCUCUCUUACUAUUGUUGCUUUCUUUCACUUUCACUUCAGUUUGGAGCUUUGCCUUAAGGCGGGCUGUGUGUUUUGUUGCUUUUAAAUUUGGUUAGUCAAUUUUCUUUGUCAUUUAUUCUGUUUUUGUUAUGCUUUUCGUUUUCGUUUGGACCUUUAGUUUUUCUUUUCGGUUUCUGGUGUUGCAGGAGUGUGGUUUCAGUGAUGGGUUUUCGGGAUGUUUGAUUUUAUUUUUUGUUAGUCUUUCAGCAGGCUGUGACUCUGUGUUUUUGGAGAUUUGAAUAAUUCUGUUUUGUUUUUACUUUUUGUUAGUCUUUCAACAAUUUUGUGGUCCGGAUUUGAACGGCUCUGUGGUCGCGAUUUCCUGUUGCGGCGAUUGAGUUUUUUCUUAGGUAUUAGUUUGUUUUGGUGGCCACAGUUUAUCGAGUGAUGUGGGUGUUGUAUUUGGGUUUUUUGAGUUGUCUUUUGAUUGUUUUGGGCGAUUUGUUGCUUAAUUAUUUUGUUGUCAAGCGUUUCUACAUCGUUCAGUUGCUCUGUAAACAUUUAAGAUUGAUUUUAUUCUUGAAAGCUUAUAGCUUUUGUUGGCUAACAUAAAACCAGGUUUUGAUUGUUUUUGAUUAUUUGGAUAGUGUUCUUUUUAAAACUGAAAUGGCCAUGUGAUUUCUUCUUUCGAUUAUUUUCCCUUUUGAUUAUUUUAGGCGAUCUGUUGCCUGAUUAUUUUGCCACUAAGCACUUCUGCGUGGUUGAGUUGCUCUCUGUAAAGAUUUAAAAUUAGUUUUUCUCUUCAAAGUUUACAGCUUUUGUUGCUUGAUAUAAAAUUAGGUUUUGAUUGUUUUGGAGCAUUUUGAUAAUCUAUGCCGGUGUUGUGUUUCUUUUGGACAAUAAUUUUUUGUGGCAUUAUUGAAAGUUUAUCAGGUGAUGUGUUUGUUUAAAUUGGAUGAGUGCGGUUUUGUGUGUAUUAGUUAUUAAUUUCAAAUGUCGGUAUUAUAUGAAAGAUUAUGUAGUUUUAAUCUUGAUGAAUGGUGUUUGAGAAUGGAAUUGGCCAUAAUAAAUGGUGAUGUGGUUCAUGUAUUGUUGGUGGUAUUCAAGUGAUCUCUUUUUUUUCCUUGAUUUAUCAUUUUUGGUGUUUUAAUUGAAUUGACUAUUCUUUUGCGUUUUUGUUUAACAAUUUAUUCAAUUAUUUCAUUUCUUUUUUAGCUUAUAUUCUGUUUCGAUUAGAUGAUGUUCAGGUUUCUUGAGCUUUCUGUCUAGACUAUUUGUGAAUUUACAGACCUCGGAUUUCAUUUGAGUAGUUUAAAUGGUAGAUCAAGGUCCAACUCCUAUUAAUCAAUUGGUGACGUAUGAAAGAAUUGUGAAAAUUAUAGUCCGUAUUUGCAGAAUAUGGUGGUCGAGAUUUCUAGGCAUGACUUAUAAAUAUACAGGGCUUCACUGUAUAUUGGUUGAUGAAAGGCAAUAAGCAAUUGAGGCGUCUUCUGAUGAGAUGGACUAUGAAAUAAUAUUGCCAAAAAUUGAAGCAAGUAUUUGCUACGAAAUUAUGAAUUUUCACACCAACAAAAUGAAGGGUCAGUAUCGAGUGGUGACACAUAACACUCACGUUGUAUUUACUGCUAAAACAAUUUUUAACAAGUUGACAAGUGUCUUUCCGCCCAUAGAUUCUUUUUGCUAGACUAUAAUAGGUUGUAUCCUCGGCUGGAGAAGCUUGAUGUCCUUACAAGUGAUAAUAUGUAUAUACAUAUGUGUGUGUGUGUGUGUGUGUCUUAGAAUGCGUUAAUGUUUGUUUUAUGAAACAUUUUGUCGUGACAGUUAUCUUUUGUUCUUUUUCUUUCUUUUUUUUUUCCUUCAAAUUUUGAAAUGUUAUUGGUCAGGUGGUUGGAGUCCAGCGUUUGGAGCCCAUACAAGUCAAUCAGAGAAUUGAUCACAAA